rnacentral:tRNA from 1 species
GCCAACGUAGCACAAUGGUAGUGCGUUGCUUUCCUACGUUAAAGGACGUGAGGCAAAGGUUGUGGGUUCGAUCCCCAUCGCUGGUU